GAGAAACAAGCCUACAAAUAACACAGGGGCAGAAGUAGAAUUAUAGAACAGAAGCAACAAUUCAUCAUAAAGAAAAGCUUUAUGAUCAUUGGCAAAGAACUUCUACCUUUCUGAGAAGCUCUUCUCAAUGACAGAAGGAAACCCACUUGGGAUCAUCUGUCUUCUAGUUUUCCUGCCCACAGCUGGAAAGAACUUUCCCAGUGUACAAAUCCUGCAAACACAUGGGUUCCAACAGUCACAAGAAAGUUUAAGUUGAAGAGAGCAAGGAAAACGGAGACAAGGAAAAAAACCAGACCUAACAAGAAAUGAGGGGCAGAAGAUAAUCAGUUCUAGAAAAAAUGAAAUUAACCUAUGGUGGUAAAGAUCAGAAUACAGAUUCCCUCUGGAUGAUGAAGACUGACAAGGCAGCAGUAGUGACAAAAAGGAUCUACACAUUGAUUGGGGUGGUAUUCAUGCAGGUAUAAACAUUCAUCAAAACUUACUGGACUAUACAUUUAAAAUCUGUACAUUUUGCUAUAUGUCAGUGGUAUCUCAAUUUUUAGAAAUAAAAAAGCUCAAAAAAGUCUUCAUAAAAAAUGGCAAAAAACAGUUUUCCAUCAUGUUGCACUUAUGUGGCUGACCAUAUAAGAAGAUAUUUGAAGGGCUCAAACAUACUUUAGACAAAGAUAAAUCUCUUUAAAGUACUAUAGAAAUUGGGGAUC